rnacentral:rRNA from 1 species
AUUGAACGCUGGCGGCAGGCCUAACACAUGCAAGUCGAGCGGAGCGGCGGACGGGGGAGUAAUGCCUAGGAAUCUGCCUGGUAGUGGGGGAUAACGUCCGGAAACGGGCGCUAAUACCACAUACUCUCAGAUGAGCCUAGGUCGGAUUAGCUUGUGGGUGGGGUAAAGGCCUACCAAGGCCACGAUCCCUAACUGGGCUGAGAGGAUGAGCAGCCACACUGGAACUGAGACACGGUCCAGACGCCUACGGGAGGCAGCAGUGGGGAAUAUUGGACAAUGGGCGAAAGCCUGAUCCAGCCAUGCCGCGUGUGUGAAGAAGGCCUUCGGAUUGUAAAGCACUUUAAGUUGGGAGGCGUUACCAGCAGAAUAAGCACCGGCUAACUUCGUGCCAGCAGCCGCGGUAAUUC